rnacentral:piRNA from 1 species
UGUCUGUCUGAAAAAAACAAU